rnacentral:rRNA from 1 species
CCUACGGGAGACAGCAGUGAGGAAUAUUGGUCAAUGGGAGAGAUCCUGAACCAGCCAAGCCGCGUGAGGGAAGACGGCCCUAUGGGUUGUAAACCUCUUUUGUCGGAGAACAAAACGCGGGACGUGUCCCGGACUGCGUGUAUCCGAAGAAAAAGCAUCGGCUAACUCCGUGCCAGCAGCCGCGGUAAUACGGAGGAUGCGAGCGUUAUCCGGAUUUAUUGGGUUUAAGGGGUGCGUAGGCGGUCCGUUAAGUCAGCGGUAAAAUUGCGGGGCUCAACCCCGUCGAGCCGUUGAAACUGGUAGACGUGAGUUGGCGAGAAGUACGCGGAAUGUGCAGUGUAGCGGUGAAAUGCAUAGAUAUCGCGCAGAACUCCGAUUGCGAAGGCAGCGUACCGGCGCCAGACUGACGCUGAGGCACGAAAGCGUGGGGAUCGAACAGGAUUAGAUACCCUAGUAGUC